rnacentral:rRNA from 1 species
GGAUCAUUAUCAUACAAUGGAGGUGCUGGGGUUGUCGCUGACUUUUGAAAGGGUCGUGCACACCUCGGUGCUCUCGCACAUAAUCCAUCUCAUCCCUUUUGUGCAUCACCGCGUGGGGACCCCUUUUGGCUAGUUCUGAGGGGGGUUUUCACGUUUUUACACAGACACCCCUUUAAUGCAAUGUGUAGAAUGUCUUACUUUUUGCGAUCACACGCAAUCAAUACAACUUUCAACAACGGAUCUCUUGGCUCUCGCAUCGAUGAAGAACGCAGCGAAAUGCGAUACGUAAUGUGAAUUGCAGAAUUCAGUGAAUCAUCGAAUCUUUGAACGCACCUUGCGCCCUUUGGCAUUCCGAGGGGCACACCCGUUUGAGUGUCGUGGCAUCCUCAAAACCUUCUUGGUUUCUUGACCGGGAAGGCUUUGGACUUUGGAGGUUUUUGCUGGCCUUCCUUUGUUGGAGCCAGCUCCUCUGAAAUGAAUUAGUGGGGUCUGCUUUGNCGAUCCUUGACGUGAUAAGGUGUUUUCUACGUCUUGGGUUUCGCACUGUUCGCUCUGGAUCCUGCUUCUAACUGUCUCAUAGAAGACAAUGGUCAAGUGAUUGCCACUUGACCCACAAACCUUGACCUCAAAUCGGGUG